UGGAAUAAAGAAAUACAAAAGAGAAGGAAGAAGGAGAAGAAGAAGAAGGAAAAAAAUGAAUCCGGUUUGUCAUUGUUGUUCGUCAUCGUCGUCCUCCGUAUCCUCUUUAUUUCUUUAU
rnacentral:ribozyme from 1 species